rnacentral:rRNA from 1 species
UACACAUGCAAGUCGAACGGCAGCACGGGUGCUUGCACCUGGUGGCGAGUGGCGAACGGGUGAGUAACACGUCGGAACGUAUCCAUUAAUGGGGGAUAACGCAGCGAAAGCUGUGCUAAUACCGCAUACGCCCCGAGGGGGAAAGCAGGGGAUCUUCGGACCUUGCGUUAUUGGAGCGGCCGACGUCUGAUUAGCUGGUUGGUGGGGUAAAGGCCUACCAAGGCGACGAUCAGUAGCUGGUCUGAGAGGAUGAUCAGCCACACUGGAACUGAGACACGGUCCAGACUCCUACGGGAGGCAGCAGUGGGGAAUUUUGGACAAUGGGCGCAAGCCUGAUCCAGCCAUUCCGCGUGAGUGAAGAAGGCCUUCGGGUUGUAAAGCUCUUUCGGCAGGGAAGAAACGAUUCUGGCCAAUACCCGGGAUUAAUGACGGUACCUGAAGAAGAAGCACCGGCUAACUACGUGCCAGCAGCCGCGGUAAUACGUAGGGUGCGAGCGUUAAUCGGAAUUACUGGGCGUAAAGCGUGCGCAGGCGGUUUUUCAAGUCUGAUGUGAAAGCCCCGGGCUUAACCUGGGAACUGCGUUGGAAACUGAAAGACUAGAGUGCGGCAGAGGGGGGUAGAAUUCCACGUGUAGCAGUGAAAUGCGUAGAUAUGUGGAGGAAUACCGAUGGCGAAGGCAGCCCCCUGGGUCGACACUGACGCUCAUGCACGAAAGCGUGGGUAGCAAACAGGAUUAGAUACCCUGGUAGUCCACGCC